AUACUUACGGAUGGGGUCGAUGAGUGAUCAAGAAGACUCAUGGCCUAGGACAGUGACCUCCAUUGCGCAAUAGGAGGGGUGCUGCCCUAAGGUCUCCCUAAUUUGGGAGAGCCUACGUCGUAAUUUGUGGAAGCGGGGGCCUGCAUUCGCGCGGCCUCCUA